rnacentral:rRNA from 2 species
GGUUUAAUUCGAAGCAACGCGAAGAACCUUACCAGGUCUUGACAUACCAUGAAAAGCUAAGAGAUUAGUCUUUCCCUUCGGGGACAUGGAUACAGGUGGUGCAUGGUUGUCGUCAGCUCGUGUCGUGAGAUGUUGGGUUAAGUCCCGCAACGAGCGCAACCCUUAUUAUCAGUUGCCAGCAUUCAGUUGGGCACUCUGGUGAGAUUACCGGUGACAAACCGGACGAAGGUGGGGACGACGUCAAAUCAUCAUGCCCCUUAUGACCUGGGCUACACACGUGUUACAAUGGUCGGUACAACGUGUUGGGAACUCGCGAGGGUAAGCAAAUCACUUAAAACCGAUCUCAGUUCGGAUUGUAGGCUGCAACUCGCCUACAUGAAGUUGGAAUCGCUAGUAAUCGCGGAUCAGCAAGCCGCGGUGAAUACGUUCCCGGGCCUUGUACACACCGCCCUUCACAGCAUGAGAGUUUGUAACAUUCAAUCAUACGGUGGUGGUAGCCCUAUAGGGGGGAGAAAUC